UACGGAGGGAGCUAGCGUUGUUCGGAAUUACUGGGCGUAAAGCGCACGUAGGCGGCUUUGUAAGUUAGAGGUGAAAGCCCGGGGGCUCAACCCCCGGAAUUGCCUUUAAGACUGCAUCGCUUGAAUCCAGGAGAGGUGAGUGGAAUUCCGAGUGUAGAGGUGAAAUUCGUAGAUAUUCGGAAGAACACCAGUGGCGAAGGCGGCUCACUGGACUGGUAUUGACGCUGAGGUGCGAAAGCGUGGGGAGCAAACAGG
rnacentral:rRNA from 1 species